CUGAUAUAAUGUUAAUAUAUCUGUUGGUGGGAGAUACUGGACAAAAACAUGUUUCAAUCCCAUCUCUAAUGUAAACCAGACUUUGCUCUGCGCCCAGAGCAUUGAUAAAACCCUAAUAUCUCUGAGGUGCAGCGGCCAUAAAAGACAAAGCAUAGUGACUUUUCAAGAGGAGACCCGGAAGUGAUCCUCAACAUAGGAAGAACUAUCGUAGACUCUCAACCUGUGCUGUUUGUCAUGUAUAGUUUCUCAAAUCGAUCAGACGUUGACAUAGGGAGAAGCAUUUAUCAAUUACCAAAAGCUGUUGUGAAGGAGGAAGUAGCAAGAAAUUGACCGAAAAGCACCGUGAGAAUGGCUUCCAAACAUCUGCGGUUGGUUGGAGCGGAGUCGGAUAGUUAAAGACUAUUCCCAAGUGUUUCCCGUAAGACGGAAUUACACCUUCAACUCAGCUACUACGACUGCAGCAGACUGGUUCAGGUAUGGUGACAUUCCACUUGCUCCAGCUGUAAGAAAGACAAGUCUUAUUAAAACUGAUGUAAAACACUAAAACAUUUGUACCUUCCCAAGAUAGGGAACCAAGCCAUUCAUUUGAUGUAACUGUUAAUGCUGCUGUUCAAAACUUUCAAUGGUAAAGAGUGACACCAUGUGGAUACACUAUGGAAGUGCAAGGAGCAGAGUAACCAUAUUUUUACUGUGUUGCUUAGUCAAAAAUGACUCACUUAAUGGUUUAAGUAAACCAGCACAUUGUAAUCUCUCCCAGUGUAACAAUUACUCAUCAGUAAUGUACUAUUUAUCAUGUAAGAUCUUAAAAAUAAGGGUUAUCUUAAUGAGUAAUGGACAGAUGAGAUUUAAGGCUUUGAGGUUGAAUGCCUUUACAAUUUCAUAAAAAUACAUCAUUGAUUGAACACCACAAGAGAGUCAACAACCUUUAUUUAUCCAUAUAUGUGCCACUCAGAAUUUGGGAAGAGGUGUUACAGGAUUUGCCCUUAAGAGAAGCCUAUAUGGAUCAUUUACAAUUUUUCUCUCUACAAUGAGGCCAUUGACAAAAAUGAAGGGGGGAAAUAAAGACAAUAUGGUCGUAACAGUGUAAACGCAUGGUAAUAUACAUGAAAGCAAAAAAGCAAUAGGUAUCAGUGACAUCAAAUUAAAAUGUAGGGUAAGUUAGUAUGAAUAAGAACAAAAGACUCCUGAAAACCCUAACUUUUUUCUCAAAUAACAGCUCGGCAUACAUUUCUACAUAGCAUGCAAUAAGGCACCUAUCUAACACAAGGAAGAAACCUAUGCUACAAUUUGA